rnacentral:rRNA from 1 species
GACGAACGCUGGCGGCGUGCCUAAUACAUGCAAGUAGAACGCAGUUGCGAACGGGUGAGUAACGCGUAGGUAACUGCCUGGUAGCGGGGGAUAACUAUUGGAAACGAUAGCUAAUACCGCAUACUACCAGAUGGACCUGCGUUGUAUUAGCUAGUUGGUGGGGUAACGGGCCACCAAGGCAACGAUACAUAGCCGACCUGAGAGGGGGAUCGGCCACACUGGGACUGGGAAACGGCCCAGACUCCUACGGGAGGCAGCAGUAGGGAAUCUUCGGACAUGGGGGGAAACCUGACCGAGCAACGCCGCGGGAGUGAAGAAGGUCCUCGGAUCGUAAAGCUCUGUUGUUAAGGAAGCGGUACUUAACGAGAAAGGGACGGCUAACUACGUGCCAGCAGCCGCGGUAAUAC